rnacentral:lncRNA from 1 species
GGCGCGGGGAUCCCUGCGGCCCCACCCGGAGGUGUCCGUCUCUUUCCCCCCCCCCGCCCCGACUUCGCGUCGUUACCGUCGCUGUGAGUGCUGCCCGCUCGUUGCCGCGGAGCUGAGGCUUUGUGCGAAGCGCCCCUUCCUUUUCAUCCUUCCGAACGGGGCCGGCGGGGCUCGGUGUGCGCGGCCGGCAGCGCUGCUCGGUAACGCGGGGUUGGGUCGGUGCGGUUUGUUCUGUCCCUUCCCUGUGCUUCAUCCCCAUGGGAAAUUCCUAAUACUGACUUUAUUUCAGAGCUUCCCCCGUGCUGGAGUGUGAGAGUAGGGGAGGGCGAGCGUGUGCGUCUGCCCUGCUGUGGGCUUCUCCUUUUCCUCUUUCACACUUUUUUUUCUUUCUUUUUUUUUUUCCUCCUUUUUUUUCUUUCUUUUCCCCGUUUAUUUAUUGAUAUAUUUCUGUUAUAGCCUCUGUAAAGAGGGGUUAAGCUGCACUUUUAAGUCAUCCCCCCCCAUCUCUGGGUGCAUCUAUCCCGGGGUGGGGGGGGGCUGUGCUUUCCCUGUGCUUUUUACGGCCCCAGGAGCUGCAUUGCAUUCAUGCACUCCUGCACGUUCCUCUCCCCGCAUUAUUGGGGGACUCGCUCCAGGUGAUGCGUGCAGGUCCUCGUUCCAGCGCUGCGGUGCAAAUUCUGGGGGGAUGCUCUUUGGAUUUGGGGCUCUCGGUGCAGCAGGUCGCGUCUUGCUCCUGCACAGCAGCGGUCGGAGGCACCGGCAGGAGGAGCUGCACCCCACGGCCAGGAGAAGGGCAGCUGCUUGAAGAGACAGAAGAACGGAGCCUCCCCAGGUGCAGCGCCGCUGCAGGACCAGGGCUGAAGUGCAUUGGGCUGCUCUGCUGCACCCCGGGCGGGUUUCCCUGCGGCUGCUGGCUCUUUGCAGCACAGCAGUUGCACUUUGCAGACCUGAACCUGCUGCCGUCAGCACUGAGGACACUGAAGUGUUGCAGGCUGAUAGCACCUGGGAAGGAAAAAAAAAAAAAAAACCACCACCACCACCAAAAUCCUGAGGCGGUAAUGCAUGCAUGUUCAUGUCUUCAUGUAGAGUGUUCGUCAGUGCCUUAUAGCAUGAUUUAA